rnacentral:rRNA from 1 species
UACAGAGGUCUCAAGCGUUGUUCGGAUUCAUUGGGCGUAAAGGGUGCGUAGGUGGCGCCGUAAGUCAGGUGUGAAAUUUCGGAGCUUAACUCCGAAACUGCAUUUGAUACUGCGGUGCUUGAGGACUGGAGAGGAGACUGGAAUUUACGGUGUAGCAGUGAAAUGCGUAGAGAUCGUAAGGAAGACCAGGUGGCGAAGGCGGGUUGCUGGGCUGACACUGACGCUGAGGCGACGAAAGCCAGGGGAGCAAACAGG